rnacentral:tRNA from 1 species
UCCUUGGUGGCUCAGACAGUAAAGAGUCUGCCUGUAAUGCAGGAGACUCAGGUUCGAUCCCUGAGUCAGGAA